UAAAAAACAACCUCGACGAGCAUCGGUAGCUGGAGAUAAUUCGCAGCAUAGUGUCAUCAAUUCAAUUUGAUUCAUGCGGAUGCUAUACAUUUGCAUCAUACGAAGUGGGCAUACAGUAAUACCACCUAGUUGAUGGUACAUCUAGCCCACACUAGGCACUAAUAAGCUUCGAGGCCGCCAUGAGAUUUUCCACAAAUGGGUAUAGAUAUGCCUUGUCGCUUUUCGUUUUCCCCCUCAUUUUCCUCGUUCAUUUUCUCUCUCCUCUCUCGUGCCAUCGAUGGUUUUGUUGUUCCCAACCGGGGUUUCAGCCUGCUCCGGCGGCAGGAGUCAAGACAAGGUGAUUUUCUUUCCAUAUUCUUUUUCGCGAUUUAUGUUUUUUUCCGGCAUUUUGGAACGGGCUAUCCGAUCGCCGGAAAACGGCACCCGCUACAGCGAUGGCCAGCCGCAGAGAGAGUGAGAGGGGCCCAGUGGAGAAGACGACAGGGACUCGCCCAAAAUUUCAAAGCCAAAGCCAAACCUAGAGGCUGUGGACAUUCACAUUCCAUGAGUAGGUCAAUCUGGAGAGGGAAGGCAGUGUUCUAUCACCGGUGAUGCUUCCGAUGGGAUGUUGGUGAGCUGUCUUAUUCUUUCAACAGAGAUAAUUCUAUUCUCCACAAUACGCAGAGGAAGAAAAAUGGGAGAGAGAACAAACCGUGGAUUUGAGAAGGUUCGAAGAGCAAGGCGUGAUAUGGGAGAGAGAGCAAAUGAAAGAGAAGGAAAUAGAAGGGACAGCGAGCAGUAGACGAGUUACCCAUAUGUUCUAUUUCCUUCCUCGGGAAAAUAUUAAAUCUAUUCUAAUGAUCGGAUAAAUGGUCAUAGAGAAAUCGAAAUAAAGCUAGGCUGCUAAGUUGCCUUAUCCGAUAGGGAAGGAUGAGGUGGUAUGAUUUUGGAUUAUCCGUAUAAAGAUCCAUAUAUAUUUAUAAAA